AUCUUCCUCCUCACAAAUUACGUUUUUUCUCCCGAUGGCCUCGUUUUGGAGUUCCCAGAAUUCCCAGAUCAGGCAAUUUGUCAUUGGACAGAGUGAUGACAGAAUUCUUCCUUCGUUUAGAUGCUUCACCCAUUCGUAUAAAACAUAUGCCAUUAGAUGAUGAUGAUCCAGCAAAAGGAUUUACCUUUAAUAUGUCAAAGUUGAAAUGUGAAAUCUGUUUCAGUCGGGGUAA
rnacentral:misc_RNA from 1 species